GUAGUCAUAUGCUUGUCUCAAAGAUUAAGCCAUGCAAGUGUCAGUAUAAGCAUUUAUACUGUGAAACUGCGGAUGGCUCAUUAAAUCAGUUAUAGUUUCUUUGAUUUUUACCUUACUACUUGGAUAACCGUAGUAAUUCUAGAGCUAAUACAUGCGUACAAGCCCGACUUCGGAAGGGCUGCAUUUGUUAGAUCCAAAACCAAUCCGGGCAACCGGACUCGGUGAAUCAUAACAACUCUGGCGGACCGCAUGGCCUCGUGCCGGCGGCGUUUCAUUCAAAUUUCUGCCCUAUCAACUUUCGAAGGUAGUAUAGAGGACUACCUUGGUUUUAACGGGUACGGAGAAUUAGGGUUCGAUUCCGGAGAGGGAGCCUGAGAAACGGCUACCACAUCCAAGGAAGGCAGCAGGCGCGCAAAUUACCCAAUACCGAUUCGGUGAGGUAGUGACAAAAAAUAACAAUACCGGGCUCUACGAGUCUGGUAAUUGGAAUGAGUACAACUUAAACCCCUUAACGAGGAUCUAUUGGAGGGCAAGUCUGGUGCCAGCAGCC
rnacentral:rRNA from 1 species